rnacentral:rRNA from 1 species
AGUGAACGCUGGGCGGCGUGCUUAACACAUGCAAGUCGAACGAGAACGGGUUAUAGCUUGCUAUAAUUGUCAGCUAAGUGGCGCACGGGUGAGUAAUGUAUAGGUAAUAUGCCUCUUACUAAGGGAUAACAAAUGGAAACGUUUGCCUAAUACCUUAUACUCCUUAUUAACAGAAGUUAAUAAGGGAAAGAUUUAUUGGUAAGAGAUUAGCCUGUAUUGUAUCAGUUAGUUGGUGGGGUAAAUGGCUUACCAAGACUAUGACACAUAACUGGUUUGAGAGGAUGAUCAGUCACACUGGAACUGAGACACGGUCCAGACUCCUACGGGAGGCAGCAGUGGGGAAUAUUGCACAAUGGACGAAAGUCUGAUGCAGCAACGCCGCGUGGAGGAUGACACAUUUCGGUGCGUAAACUCCUUUUAUAUGAGAAGAUAAUGACGGUAUUAUAUGAAUAAGCACCGGCUAACUCCGUG